UCUCGAUUAGUGUAGUGGUUAGCAUAUCGGCUUGUCACGCCGAUGACCGGGGUUCGAUUCCCCGAUCGAGAG
rnacentral:tRNA from 1 species